rnacentral:rRNA from 1 species
UACGUAGGGGGCUAGCGUUGUCCGGAAUCAUUGGGCGUAAAGAGCGUGUAGGCGGCUCGGUAAGUCUGCUGUGAAAGUCCAGGGCUCAACCCUGGAAUGCCGGUGGAAACUGUCGAGCUAGAGUCCGGAAGAAGCGAGUGGAAUUCCUGGUGUAGCGGUGAAAUGCGCAGAUAUCAGGAGGAACACCAAUGGCGAAGGCAGCUCGCUGGGACGGUACUGACGCUGAGACGCGAAAGCGUGGGGAGCAAACAGG